rnacentral:misc_RNA from 1 species
GGUCCCGGUAGCGAAACCA